CAAGUCGAACGAGAAAGUUCCCUUCGGGGAAUGAGUAAAGUGGCGCACGGGUGAGUAACACGUAGGUAAUCUACCUUCGGGUGGGGAAUAACGCAGGGAAACUUGCGCUAACACCGCAUAAUGCAGCGGCACCACAUGGUGACAGUUGUUAAAGCGGGGGAUUUUCGAACCUCGCGCCUGAAGAGGAGCCUGCGGCAGAUUAGCUAGUUGGUAGGGUAACGGCUUACCAAGGCGACGAUCUGUAGCCGGCCUGAGAGGGCGGUCGGCCACACUGACACUGACAUACGGGUCAGACUCCUACGGGAGGCAGCAGUCGGGAAUUUUGGGCAAUGGGCGAAAGCCUGACCCAGCAACGCCGCGUGAAGGAUGAAAUCCCUCGGGAUGUAAACUUCGCAAGAAUGGGAAGAAUUAGUAGGGGUUAAUACCCUCUAUGAUGACGGUACCAUUUGUAAGCUCCGGCUAACUCCGUGCCAGCAGCCGCGGUAAUACGGGGGGAGCAAGCGUUGUUCGGAUUUACUGGGCGUAAAGGGCGCGUAGGCGGUCAGCACAAGUCAGUUGUGAAAUCUCCGGGCUUAACUCGGAAAGGUCAACUGAUACUGUGCGACUAGAGUGCGGAAGGGGCAACUGGAAUUCUCGGUGUAGCGGUGAAAUGCGUAGAUAUCGAGAGGAACACCUGCGGCGAAGGCGGGUAGCUGGGCCGACACUGACGCUGAUGCGCGAAAGCCAGGGGAGCGAACGGGAUUAGAUACCCCGGUAGUCCUGGCCUUAAACGAUGGAUGCUUGGUGUCUGGAGUUUUAUAGUCUCCGGGUGCCGUAGCUAACGCGUUAAGCAUCCCGCCUGGGGAGUACGGUCGCAAGACUGAAACUCAAAG
rnacentral:rRNA from 1 species